rnacentral:tRNA from 1 species
UCCCAAAUAGUCUAGGCGGUUAGGAUACGUGGCUUUCACCCACGCGACCCGGGUUGGAGGCCCGGUUCGGGAA